rnacentral:tRNA from 1 species
GUGGCUCAGUGGCAGAGCAUCUGCUUGGAAUGCUGAAGGUCCCAGGUUCGAUUCCUACCA